rnacentral:rRNA from 1 species
ACGUAGGUGGCAAGCGUUAUCCGGAUUUACUGGGUGUAAAGGGCGCGUAGGCGGGGAUGCAAGUCAGAUGUGAAAUCUAUGGGCUUAACCCAUAAACUGCAUUUGAAACUGUAUCUCUUGAGUGCUGGAGAGGUAGACGGAAUUCCUUGUGUAGCGGUGAAAUGCGUAGAUAUAAGGAAGAACACCAGUGGCGAAGGCGGUCUACUGGACAGUAACUGACGCUGAGGCGCGAGAGCGUGGGGAGCAAACAG